GCACAGAAACAAAGACCCAACACAGCAAAAAUAAAAUAAAUUAAUAAACUCCUAACCACCACCCCCCCUCCAAAAAAAAGAAAAAAGCCUUGAGGGGCUUCCCUGGUGGCGCAGUGGUUGAGAAUCCGCCUGCCAAUGCAGGGGACACGGGUUCGAUCCCUGGUCCGGGAAGAUCCCACAUGCCCGAAGCAACUAGGACCAUGCGCCACAACUACUGAGCCUGUGCUCUAGAGCCUGCGAGCCACAACUACUGAGCCCGUGUGCCGCAACUACUGAAGCCCACGUGCCUAGAGCCCGUGCUCCCCAAGAGAAGCCCUCGCACCACAACGAAGAGUAGCCUCCACUCGUCGCAACUAGAGAAAGCCCACGUGCAGCAACAAAGACCCAACACAGCCAAAAGUAAAUAAAUAAAUUUAUUUUUUAAAAAAAGAGAAGAAAGCCUUUAAUGCAUGAGAAUACUCUGAAUAUACUGAAACAAACUGGGAGGCUUAUGAUAACCUUCAAAAUGCUCUUACCCUCAAAGUAUUCGUUAUUAAUUCUAAGCAGGCCAUUAAAUGCCAGGUUUAUAAACUUUAUACAAUAUGGAAUACCUGGAUAUCAUUCCACCCCUCUAACAAAAAACACUCAUAAAUUAAUUAUACAGCAAAAGCAGAAACUUGCCUAUACCUUCUCUUUAUGUGACACUUCUGUACGUAAUCUGUAUUUUGAAAAUGACUAGAAAUUAUCAUUAGAUUAGAAAUUAGAAAUGAUGCUGUUAACCGUGAUCUGUGUUACUGUUACAUACUUUCAAGCACACUGAUACGUUUGAAUUUUUCCAGAGAUUUGAGCAUGUCAGUGGACAUCCCCCGGUAAUUGGCAAUCCACGUGAAGAGCAUGAAUUCUAACCAAUUCAAGAGGCUUUAUGGAGCACCAAGAGAGGGCAAGAUACCAAGAUGAAAGAGUCAUCCCUGACCUCAAUAAGGAGAGGAAUUCAACCACAAAAAGGAACGAACUCCUGAUACGUGUUACACGUGGACAAACCCUGAAAACACUGUGCUAAGUGAAAUACGCCAGACACAAAAGGACAAAUAUUAUGAUUCCAAUUACAUGAAAUAUCCAGAAUAGGCAAAUUCACAGGGACAGACAGCAGACCAGAGGUUACCAGGGGCUAGGAGUAGGGAGCAAUGGAUGGUUAUUACUUUAAUAGUUACAGAGUUUCUGUUUGGGGUGAAGAAAACUUCAAUUUUCCAAACAGAGGAGUGGUGAUGACUGCACAACACUGUGAACGUACUUAAUGCCACUGAAUUGUACUCUUAAAAAUGGUUAAAAUGGGGGAGUUCCCUGGUGGCCUCGUGGUUAGGAUUCCAGGCUUUUCACUGUCGUGGCCCGGGGUUCAAUCCCUGGUUGGGGGAACUGAGAUCCUGCAAGCCGAGCAGCAUGGCACGGCCAAAAAAAAAAAAAGGGUUAAAAUGACCUUAACCUAAAACUAUAAAGCUCCUAGAAGGGCACUGGACUAAGCAGUGGUUUCUUGGAUAAGGCACCAAAAGCAAAAACAGACAAAUGAGACUCCAUCAAACUUAAAAUUCUGUACAUCAAAGGACACAACAGAGUGAAACGGCAUGGGAAAAACUAUGUGUAAAUCAUAUAUAUCUAUUAAGGGGUUAAUAUUCAGAAUAUAUAAAGAACUACAACUCAACAAGAACGACAACAACAAAACUCUGAUUUUUAAAAAUGGGCAAAAAGGGGGCUUCCCUGGUGGCGCUAAGAAUCUGCCUGCCAACGCAGGGGUCACGGGUUUGAGCCCUGGUCCAGGAAGAUCCCACAUGCCGCGGAGCAACUAAGCUCGUGCGCCACAACUACUGAGCCUGUGCUCUAGAGCCUGCAAGCCACAACUACUGAGCCCACGUGCCACAAUUACUGAAGCCCGUAGGCCUAGAGGCCGUGCUCCGCAACAAGAGAAGCCACCGCAAUGAGAAACCCACGCACUGCAACGAAGAGUAGCCCCCGCUCGCCGCAACUAGAGAAAGCCCACGCACAGCAACAAAGACCCAAUGCAGCCCCCCACAAAAAAAAAAAAAUUUAAAAUGGGCAAAAGACUUCUAUAGGCAUUUCUGCAAAGCUGACAUACAAAUGGCCAUCAAGCAUAUGAAAAAAUGUUCAACAUCGUUAGGCAGAGAAAUGCAGAUCAAAACCAUGAGAGAUCACAUCACACCCAUUAGGACCAUUACUAUUAAAGAAGAAGAAAAGGGAAUUCCAUUGAGGUCCAGUGGUUAGGACUCCGAGCUUCCACUGCAGGGGGUAUAGGUUCGAUCCCUGGUUGGGGAACAAAGAUCCUGCAUGUCACAUGGCGCAGCCAAAAACAAACAAACAAACAAAAAAACAAAACAAAACGAAUGUUGGUGAGGAUGUGGAGAUAUAAGAAUCCUUGUGUACUGUUGGUGGUAUUGUGAAAUAGUGGGAUCCUUAUGGAAAACAGUAUGGAGGUUCCUCAAAAAAUUAAAAACAGAACCACCAUAUGAUCCAUCAAUUCACUUCUGAAUAUUAUCCAAAAGAACUGAAAGAAGGGGGACUUCCUUGGUGGUCCAGUAGUUAAAGACUCCACGCUCCCAAUGCAGAGGGGCCCGGGUUCGAUCCAUGGUCAGGGAACUAGAUCCCACAUGCAUGCCGCAACUAAAGAUCCGCACACUGCAAUUAAGACCUGGAACAGCCUAAUUAAAUAAAUACUAAAAAAAAGAAAAAAGAAUUGAAAGAAGGGUCUCAAGGAGAUAUCUGUACACCCAUAUUCAUAGCAGCACUAGUCACAGUGGCCAAAAGGUACAAACAACUUGUGUUCAUCAACAGAUAAAUGGAUAAACAAAAUGUGGUAUAUACAUACAAUAGAAUAUUAUUCAGCCUUUGAAAGGAAAGAAAUCCUGUCACAUGCUACAACAUGGAUGAACCUUAAAGAUAUAGUAAGUGAAAUGAUCCAGUCACAAAAAGCCAAAUACUAUUGUGAAUCCACACAUACCUAAAAGUAGUCAAAUUCAUAGAAGCAGUAAGUAGAAUGGUAGUUAUGAGAGGCUGGGGUGGGAGGAGGAAGAAAAUGGGAGUUGUUGUUUAAUGCAUAUAGAGUUUCAAAUUUAGAAGAUGAAAAGGUUCUGGAGAUCUGUUUCCCAUUAAUAUGAAUGCACCUAAUGCUACACAACUGUACACUCAAAAAUAAUUAAGAUGCUAAAUUUUAGAUUGUGUUUUUUACAUUAAAAAAUGGUUAAAAUGUAAAAUUGUUAUAUAUAUUUUACCACAAUUUUUUAAAAUAAAUAAUGCAAUAUACCAAAAACUGUUGAAGUGCAUCGUAUGUGAAUUGUAUCUCAAUAAAGCUGUUAAAAAAAAAGGCAGAGGACACAGAGUUUCACCAAAUCCAGUGAGCUUCACUCACUGGUUUACAGAAAACAGAACAAUUUGUUGGAAGUACCCAAAGCCUUGAGCAGAGGAGCCUAUGCUCCUACUUCCUCCAACUUCUUCACCCUGGCCUCCAGGUGACAGCUCUUCUCUUUCCCUUUCCAAGGCACACCACCACCACCUUGUAACUUCCCAGUUCCUUAUUACAUCUGGCCUCACAGGAAAAUUAAGUUAAAGAAGCUGCAGGGGCAGUCACAGGAGGGGGCAUGGAAUUCACGACUCACACUCCACGUUUAGCAGCAGAGCCCAAAUAUUAAAAAAAAAAAAAAAAAAAAAAAUCACACAGUAGACGUACAAUAAACGUUAGGUCUCUGCCCUUCCUCUCCUCUUCUUCAAGCCCAGCAUGUUUAAAACAGCAAAUUCUCUGCUCCCAUGCUGGGAUAGCCACUGGCCUAACUCAUAUGUGCUGGAGCUUAAACACAGGGCAUCAUUUAAAAUAUGGCUGUCAAUGCCUAUCACCUACUACUAAACUUAAAAACGUAUCACAAAACUGUAACUAGGAUAAGCGUAUUUUGUUAAAAUAAUAAACAUUUCUACAGCACAUGAAAGGGAUAAUAAGAUAAAGACCACAAAUAUUAACAAUCACCUCUGAGUGGUGGGACUAAAGGUGAGUUUCUCUUUUUUCUGGCUUAUCUGCAUUUUUAAUAAUGAAUCUGUAACUUCUGUAAUAACAAAAAUAACCCGAAAUCUUCAGAAAAAUAAAUCAUUCUGGCUCAAAAUUUCACUACCUCUUAUACUACAGACACUUUCACACGUUACUGCACUGAAGCUGAAUUGGCACCAUGUGAAACAGACACGAUUUCCUCCAUUUUGCAGAUGAGAAUGAGCUGAGGCUCAAAACAGUGACUUGGUCAAGGUUUUAUAGCUAGUAACAGACCAAGGAUUACAAUUCAGGCCUUCAACUCCAAGCCUGGGGCCCUUUCCAUUCCAUCACAUCUUAAAGGGCAAUUUGCAUUAUUGCUCAUGAUAUUGUAUUAAAAAAAAAAAAAGAAAAACCCUAUGUUGAAACUGUUGUUAAGAGCACCUGCUACAUAAUCUUGGGCAAAUAACCCCGGGAGCCUCAGUUUCCUCAUCUGAAAAGUGAAAUGGUUGGAAAAGAUAUUCUAUCUCACCAGCUAAUCUAGACUCACCAGCUAAUGGAUUUUAAGUCUAGAUACCAUCUGAGGAGAAAAUAACCCCGUGGGCAAAAAUGAAUGGUUGGAGAGAAGUUGAGGCCUAUGCUCUGGGCCAAGGGCCAUUCUUAAUGGAAACAGGUGGUGGACAGUCAAGACGAAAGAACCGCUGGGGAAACCAUAAACUUCCAGGUUAAAACAACAGCUGAAAGCUCCUGCUUCGCUUUCCUAACAGCAAUGCUUCAAUCUUGGCUAACUCAUGAUUAGAAACCACAUACUAAAAAACCCUUGGUGGUUCCCAGAGACGACUCUUCCUCAGCAAGAAUUUAAGGAGAAACUGAAAAUUGCGUACCACUCUGAGAGAUGCCACACUUGUGGAAAAGAGCCAACCCAACACUUGUGGAAAAAGUGAAAGAAUGAAAUUAAAACCUCUUCGAUCUACAGAGAAUCAAAGAAAGCGAAGAGACCUUCCUUAAGGGUGAAGUUCCUGUAAACGAUUCAGCGGGUACCUGUUACCUCUUACACGGCAGACAUUAUAAAGCACUCCACGCUAUCUGACACUAUUAUACAGCCUUCUCCCUCGAAGGUAAUAAAACUACAGCAUUAACUUUGCUGGCGAGAAAAAGAUUCCAUUUUGCUAAAGCAGGCUCCGACCAAAAUCGCACCACCUUCCCCUCAACUACGGGGAUGAGCCUAAACCAAGGAGAAGCUGCUUAGAGCCAGUGCAACCAUCUUAGAGAAUUAAAACAACAUCCUGCUCCGAGGACCACAACCAAGACACCAGCGGCUUUAAAUCCAAAACCAGGUCCUUAGCGAAGAAAGCUCCUCACCGUGCUCUCCGCGCUCCCGGGUGCGAGAAUCCAGCCCCGCUACUAGGCCAUAACGGAUAAGCAACAGGAUCCAGGCCUUCCUUCUCGGCUGAGAUGGGGAAUACUUCCCUGGUGGCGCAGUGGUUAAGAAUCCGCCUGCCAAUGCAGGGGACACGGGUUUGAGCCCGGGUCCGGGAAAAUCCCACAUGCCGCGGAGCAACUAAGCCCCUGCGCCACAACUACUGAGCCUGAGCUCUAGAGCCUGCACGCCGCAACUACUGAAGCCCACACACCUAGAGCCCCUGCUCCGCAACAAGAGAAAACACCGGAAAGAGAAGCCUGUGCACUGCAAUGAAGAGUAGCCCCCGCUCACCGCAACUACAGAAAGCCGGAGUGCAGCAACAAAGACCCAAAGCAGCCAAAAAUAAAUAAAUAAAUAAACUUAUAUUAAAAAAUACUCUUAAAAAAG